rnacentral:rRNA from 1 species
GAUGAACGCUGGCGGCGUGCCUAAUACAUGCAAGUCGAGCGAACAGACGAGGAGCUUACUCCUCUGACGUUAGCGGCGGACGGGUGAGUAACACGUGGAUAACCUACCUAUAAGACUGGGAUAACUUCGGGAAACCGGAGCUAAUACCGGAUAACAUGUUGAACCGCAUGGUUCAACAGUGAAAGACGGUCUUGCUGUCACUUAUAGAUGGAUCCGCGUCGCAUUAGCUAGUUGGUAAGGUAACGGCUUACCAAGGCAACGAUGCGUAGCCGACCUGAGAGGGUGAUCGGCCACACUGGAACUGGGACACGGUCCAGACUCCUACGGGAGGCAGCAGUAGGGAAUCUUCCGCAAUGGGCGAAAGCCUGACGGAGCAACGCCGCGUGAGUGAAGAAGGUCUUCGGAUCGUAAAACUCUGUUAUUAGGGAAGAACAAAUGUGUAAGUAACUAUGCACGUCUUGACGGUACCUAAUCAGAAAGCCACGGCUAACUACGUG